UAGGGAAUCUUCGGCAAUGGGGGGAACCCUGACCGAGCAACGCCGCGUGAGUGAAGAAGGUUUUCGGAUCGUAAAGCUCUGUUGUUAAGGAAGAACGAGUGUGAGAAUGGAAAGUUCAUACUGUGACGGUACUUAACCAGAAAGGGACGGCUAACUACGUGCCAGCAGCCGCGGUAAUACGUAGGUCCCGAGCGUUGUCCGGAUUUAUUGGGCGUAAAGCGAGCGCAGGCGGUCAAUUAAGUCUGAUGUGAAAGCCCCCGGCUCAACCGGGGAGGGUCAUUGGAAACUGGUGGACUUGAGUGCAGAAGAGGAGAGUGGAAUUCCAUGUGUAGCGGUGAAGUGCGUAGAUAUAUGGAGGAACACCAGUGGCGAAGGCGACUCUCUGGUCUGUAACUGACGCUGAGGCUCGAAAGCGUGGGUAGCAAACAGG
rnacentral:rRNA from 1 species